rnacentral:pre_miRNA from 1 species
CUGUUCCUUUUUCCUAUGCAUAUACUUCUUUGAGGAUCUGGCCUAAAGAGGUACAUGGCAUGGGAAAAUGGAGCAG